CGCUGUCCUGCGGCCUCCCGUCCGUCACCACGAUGACCACCUGCGGCACCGGCGGCGCGUGAGAGGCCGGCCCUCGGACGUUGCCCCCGGGGGAAGCCCCGCGGGACGGCGGCCGGAGAGGCGGAGGGACCUGCCGGCCGGCCGUGCAGGACCGAACCGGGAGCUCCCAGCGUCGUGCAGUUCUUCAUGCGGCCACCGGAGGGCGGCAGAGACUAACGAAUGGGGCUGCCUCCCCGCCCUGUCCUGCAGCACCACGCCCACCGGGAGGCCCAGGAACCAACCCGCGGAAGAUGCCGCCCUUUGCUCCCUCCUCUCCGGGGAGGAAACGUGCCGCGUCUGCGCCCUCCCCCGAGGCUCCUGUGUUCUGUUCCUCCGCUGAGGCUCAUCGCGGGGCUCUGGUUCCUCCUUCAACCCCCGAGACGCACUCCGCUCGGGUCCCCAGGGCACUGACAACCUCGCUGUGACUGGUCACACUGCCUGAGCCACUGUCCUGGAGCCGCAGCCCGGGAUGAUACUGCCCGUGUCCUCUGUCGCAUCCUCCCCUGCAGGAGCUCUGACCUCACUCCCCCCACCCCCAGGCCGAUGCCCUGAGCUGGGAGGACCCUGCUGGCAGAGACGUGCCAGCCACACCCCUAUCGCCUCGUCCCUCUCCGUCCUUUGGGACCAGCUGGGCUCACUCAGCUGUGCGGUCCGGCACCUCCUCCUGGGCCUUGUGAGCAACCUCACGGGAGCCCCGGCCACCCGCCUCGGCGUUUCUUUAGGGGUGGCAGUGGCUGGCAUUUACUCUGCUGACUGCGUUAUCACUUCCGCCCCGGAUUAGCUGGGCGAGUUGCUUAGGUGCACCAUGCCUCGGUUUCCUUGUCUGUAAGUUGGGGACGCCACCUCCCAGAAGACUUGUGUUGACUCGUCCGCGCGUACUCAAGACUGGGGACGGGUGAGGCUGUCCCCUGGCUGGGGCCCUGGGAAGGCACAUGGUGACUCCGCAGGCCCAGGGUGCUGCGAUGGGGGACCACGGCGGGGGGGGGGGGGGACACCUGACCCGGCCUCAGAGGCCUGGUGCUGAGUACCCAAUGUGAGUAAAACCCUCAGCCACCGCUGGCUGUGGCACUGGGGACCCAUGGCUGCCCCUCCCAGCGCCCCCACCCUCAAAGGACUUAAACGGCAGCUAGCCAUGU